rnacentral:miRNA from 1 species
GAACCGGGACUAAAGGUGGGACAU